ACGUGUUUUAUUUUGGAAUUGGG
rnacentral:siRNA from 1 species